GCAGUGUAAGAGAUCAUAAGAUAUUACGCAUUGUUUGGGGGGGGGGGAGGGGGGGUCGUUCAAAAGUCGAUAGGCGUAAUAUUUUUUAAAGAUACAUAAUGAUUUAUGUAAUUAUAGUUUAAGGAAAACAAUUAUGUGUCAUCUAAUAGGAGUCUUGACCGCCGAAGGAGAUAAACGGUUAAAAAUAAAUGUAAUGCAAAGUGUUUAUGAAGUGGGCAUCUUAUCUAAAUGUGUAGUAGAAAAAAACACUUUUAUUUUGCUUAAAAUUUACCGAGUUCUGUCUCAGGCUGAGUAAAGUUCCCGGAUCAAACUCGUGCAAUACUGUUAUGUUUACGUGUACAUUUUAUUUUUAUAUCAUAAUGACCUGCAGUAUUAUAGAAAUGUCAUAAUGAGAUAAACUGAACGUGGAUCAUUGCUUUUGUAAAUAGAUUUUUCUUAUUUCUUAUUCAUUUUUGCGGAUCGUUUUAGCACAAUUGUAGAAUUUUAAGGGUAACAAAGACAUUUCCUUAUUUUUUUUCUAUGAUGGGAAAUGAAUUUGUAGAAAUUAUGUCUGUUUUAUUUGUUGUGUAUAGUUUUUUUUUAAAUGUUGACCCAAAUUUAUUGUACUUGAUAAGUGCAUAUAUUAUACUUUUUUCUGUAAUAAAAAAGUCCCAUACACAAUUGCAAUAAUGUAAAAAAUCACAAAAGUUUCUAUAGAGAUAAUGAAAUGUAUAAACCCCAGUUUUCGUAUAGAAAUGUUUUCGUACUGUAUGUUUAUUUUUCAUGAUAAUAUACAAUGUACUGAUAUUUUGCUCAGGGUUGUAUAUAUAUAAUUUCACAAGGUCCUUUAGCGAUGUACAUUUAUCACUGCUAAUAUUAAAAAAAUAUUCGGAAUCGUCAUUGCAUAACAUCAUAUUCCUUUAAGUGCUUUCAGAAUUAAACAGUAUGACUGCAUGAUUAAAAUACAUAUUGUUCUAAGUAUUUAAAAUAUUCAAGUUGACAUUUUGCUGAAACUUUUUAAAACAAAAGAAGAGGACACACCCACCAUACAUGUACAUGUUGUUGAUGUGUUCGUCUGUAUGUUGACUUGUUUUGUUGUAGCUGUAAAGGUUCGUUGUUUUUGUUUGCUAUAAAUGAUGCUUCACUGCCAAGUACUAACGUUUGUCUACAUGUUUACCAAUCAUUUUGUACUCGAUUUUAUACAUUCUUUUACAAUAAAUUGUUUUACGGAU
rnacentral:misc_RNA from 1 species